rnacentral:lncRNA from 1 species
AAAGUUUCUUUUCUCUUUGUUUUUUUUGUUGUUUUUUUUUUGACUUGUAACACAUUUCUAAAUACAAAAUAAGAAAUACAAAAACAAAAGACUAAGCAAACUUAACUAGACUAUUACAAACUCUAACAUCACCUAAAAGACUGAAUACUAUUAUACAUGACUAGAAAGUAAAACAUGAACAAUUGACUCAAAAACAUAAAAUGGCUCCUCGAUCAACUUCUGAAUGCGGUGAUCCUUGGGUAUGUGUCAUGCCCAAACUCCAGUAAGUAAAUCCACACCUGUACAAGAAAACUUAAACCAACACUAUGUGAGACAAUAACAUUCACUACCUGACACAUGCAAGACAUGGUUGUGACUAUUGUUUUCUAAAAUUAACCUAUGUGGCUAAAUGUUAAAAUGCAAGAUUUGGCUAAGACCCUGCGAAGCCAAGAACCUAAACUCACUAGGAAGACCGGACCCUAUGUGGGUUGCCUAGGUAUCACGCCCCGAAAGAAGAGAAUCAGGUAUGCGAAGUUCGAGCAGAUCGGAUAAGGGCGAGAAUUAAAAAAACAACUAAUUUAGUGAAAACAUAUUUUUUUUGUCUCUUGUGUGAAAAAUGAUGAAACAUGUAAAAUCUUUUUGAAUUUUCUUUUUCCUCUUUUUUUUUUAUUUUUGAUUUUCGAAAAAUGAUGAAAAAGUGCAAAAUCUUUUUUUUUUGAAUUUUCCAUUUUUUGUCUUUUCUUAAUAAAAACGUGACAGAAAACAUAACUGGGCCAUACUUGUUUUAUUUUCACACUUCACCCUCUUUUUUUCUUAUUUUUUUUUUCAUUUGCCCUAAACUAUCAUUGGUCCGCCAAAUGACCUUUUUACUCUUGAAGAUUGCAACAUGUAGCACAUAGGAUGCAUCGAGAUGGUCUGUUAUUUUUUGGGUACACCUGUCCUAGACAGACCCAACCCCUGUGUUGAGUCUCCAAAGUCAAAUGCACGUGAUGCAAACAAACAUUCCUACUAGGGAUCCGACAUGAGGCUGAAUUAUUCUAGGUUCAAAACCUAGGUAUUUGUUCUAGACUUGUGUACCCGAGCGGACAACUCGAGCCGAGGAGGGGGCUACGUAUCGGGAACCAAAAGGCCAUCCGGCUUAGUAACUUGUCCGAGCCUCUUUCUUAUUUCAAGAUAUGACACUAACAGAUAGAGAGUCUCGACCAGCAAGCACAUCCCCGGAGAUGAGAAGAGAGGGUUUCGUAGCAGUUUAUAUACAGUUCCAGAUAAUAUCAAAGCGGUAAAAGCAUCACUUAGCACAUUAGACCCAAACAUAUAAUAAAAUCAGAUAAUAGAUAAAGCGAAAUAUAACAAUUCAUCUAAGCUCGAAUUCUGAACCCUGAACCAGAGAUUCUGGGUACUUCUCCCCAACAAAGUCGCCAAAGCUGUCACACCUCCUUUUUACGCUACACCCCCGGAAGGGGCAUAAGGGGAUCUUUUCCAAUUUAAAUGACAAUCGAAACGGGAUUUAUUAUUAAAAGAUUCAGAGUCACCACUUGAGAGAUUUAUGGUGUCCCAAGUCACCGGUUCCAAUCCCGAAUCGAGGAAAAGAUUGACUCUGUUUAACAGUCUGCAAACUAGAAAUCCAAGUAAGGAAUUCUGUUAACCCGAGAGAAGAAGUUAGGCAUUCCCGAGUUCUGUGGUUCUAGCACGGUCACUCAACUAUCAUAUUCGGCUUAGUUGUUCGAUUUUAAGUACUUUUGAACCUAUGUGCAAAUUUUAACUUAAUCGCUUUAUUAAUUAUUUUAUUUUAGGAGGAUUUCAACGUCAUUAAAAACAUGUCUUGAACCACGUCACAUAAAUACACCCGCGGUCCACGACACAUUUUAUUUAACGUUGUUGAGAUUUAGAUUUGGGUCACAUAAAUGUGCACCCGAGUUUAGGAAGGUAUGUUAUUAAAAUAAUGCACCUAAAGCAACUACGCAUUAGCAACUUUGCGAGGGCCAUGAAUGAUUAAAUUGUGGAUGACACACCUUGGACUAUAUGAACAAAAAUUAAUUUAGCAGCCUAUUAAUCUAUGUCUUUUGAAAUUCUCUGUCAUGGUUGUAUAAUAAUGACUGCUGUCAGUAAAUAUAAAUUAAUUCAAAAAAUAUAUCUUUGACCUCAACCAUGACACUCUUCCAACCCCAAGGCUGUGCGCAAAUUGGACUGUUGCGAACUACAACUUAAAAGGCAAAUGACAAAUAGAAAAUUCGUUUGCCUCCCUAUGGUUGUGCAUAUGAUAAAUGACAAGAGUAGAUUUGGUUUCUUGGAUAUCAAAUGCAAGAUACAAAAGAAGGGACAAUGUAGAAACUAACACAUAAUAUUCUCCAUCAUUAAAUAAGAGAACCAACCAACACAUUCACGACCAUUUUUUUCUACUAUGUAUAUAUUGAGUAUAUAUGCACCUUUUAAAUUAAGGCAACAGUUGAUUAAAACAACACAAUAACAAAUCUGUAACACAUGAAACCUAAUUAACCAAACGAAUUUGUAAACCUGCUAAUUCAACUCAUACAAACGGGCAAAUUGCAACAAUACGAAUACAUAGACCACAUCUAAAGGAAACAAGAUAAUAUGACAAAUAAUGAAGACAAACAACUACGUAAACUUUAGAUGUGAUUCAGCAAUUAAACAAACAAACAUCACAAAUGAAAGGGCCAAGAUAUUAGUAUCACGUGAUCAUAAAACUAGAACGAAGGAAAUCGAACAAAACAAUUCAUACACCCACGACGCAAGAUCUGAAAAUCGAAAGAUGAGCAAAGUUAGAAUAUGACCUCUUAAUAAAAAAUUCUUUAUUUUCAACAUCAAAGAAACUCCAUUGAAAAGCCCGAUUUUGAACCGCGAGCGGAACUAACGAACGGACGAGCUCGUCGAACCCGAACUUGAACCGGCGACUGGACUAAACUUCGAACCUCAGUUUCUACUACCUACACUAUUUUUCCGUUACUCAAUCUGUUGUUUAUUUUUCUGUGAUAGGUGUGUGUGUGUGUGUGUGUUACUCGACUCUUGUAGUGAGGACGACAGGUGAGGGUGAUGUACUCGAUCUAGACUAAAGAGGGAAUUUCGCGGCUGUUUUGUAUGGAGGAGAUGAGUCGCGUGUGAAGUGAAGCCUCUCCGGAGUUAUGGUGAGGAAGACGGGUCUGCUUUUAGUUAGCAGCUAGGAUUCUUUAGCAUUUUGUUUUGGAUGGGAAGAUGGAGUUAUAGGGAGGUGGGGGUCUCUGUUUUUGGUUCUUUGUUGCUGAAGAAAAUGAACAGGCGAGGAGGGGAGUCGGAGAAGACGAUCCGAGGGGGGGGGGGGGUCUGUAUUUGCUGCGCAACUUUGUGUCCUUUUUUUUCCAG